AACAAGGUCUCCGUUGGUGAACCAGCGGAGGGAUCAUUACUGAGUUACCGCUCAUCAACCCUUUGUGAACAUACCUUAACUGUUGCUUCGGCGGGUAGGCGUCCCCUAAAAAGGACGUCUCCCGGCCCUCUCCCGUCCGCGGGUGGGGCGCCCGCCGGAGGAUAACCAAACUCUGAUUUAACGACGUUUCUUCUGAGUGACACAAGCAAAUAAUCAAAACUUUUAACAACGGAUCUCUUGGUUCUGGCAUCGAUGAAGAACGCAGCGAAAUGCGAUAAGUAAUGUGAAUUGCAGAAUUCAGUGAAUCAUCGAAUCUUUGAACGCACAUUGCGCCCGCCAGCAUUCUGGCGGGCAUGCCUGUUCGAGCGUCAUUUCAACCCUCAAGCUCUGCUUGGUGUUGGGGCUCUACGGUUGACGUAGGCCCUUAAAGGUAGUGGCGGACCCUCUCGGAGCCUCCUUUGCGUAGUAACAUUUCGUCUCGCAUUGGGAUUCGGAGGGACUCUAGCCGUAAAACCCCCAAUUUUACUAAGGUUGACCUCGGAUCAGGUAGGAAUACCCGCUGAACUUAAGCAUAUCAAUAA
rnacentral:rRNA from 1 species